GAUGAACGCUGGCGGCGUGCCUAAUACAUGCAAGUCGAGCGAACGGACGAGAAGCUUGCUUCUCUGAUGUUAGCGGCGGACGGGUGAGUAACACGUGGAUAACCUACCUAUAAGACUGGGAUAACUUCGGGAAACCGGAGCUAAUACCGGAUAAUAUUUUGAACCGCAUGGUUCAAAAGUGAAAGACGGUCUUGCUGUCACUUAUAGAUGGAUCCGGGCUGCAUUAGCUAGUUGGUAAGGUAACGGCUUACCAAGGCAACGAUGCAUAGCCGACCUGAGAGGGGGUAGCCCGCCACAGAGGGUGAGCCGCGGUCCAGGGUCUGAGGUGAGGCCGCGAGUGGGACUCGACGGAGAAGGGCGGAAUCCUGCCGGAUGGGCGCCGGGCGGAUGCAGCGAGGCUGCGUGAUGGAAAACUGUGUUAUGGGGGAAAAACUUUUGUAGCAGUAACGGUGCACAACUGACGGUACCUGAAUAAGAAGCCCCCGCUGACUACGUG
rnacentral:rRNA from 1 species